rnacentral:rRNA from 1 species
AUUGAACGCUGGCGGCAGGCCUAACACAUGCAAGUCGGACGGUAGCACAGAGAGCUUGCUCUCGGGUGACGAGUGGCGGACGGGUGAGUAAUGUCUGGGGAUCUGCCCGAUAGAGGGGGAUAACCACUGGAAACGGUGGCUAAUACCGCAUAACGUCGCAAGACCAAAGAGGGGGACCUUCGGGCCUCUCACUAUCGGAUGAACCCAGAUGGGAUUAGCUAGUAGGCGGGGUAAUGGCCCACCUAGGCGACGAUUCCUAGCUGGUCUGAGAGGAUGACCAGCCACACUGGAGCUGAGACACGGUCCAGACUCCUACGGGAGGCAGCAGUGGGGAAUAUUGCACAAUGGGCGCAAGCCUGAUGCAGCCAUGCCGCGUGUAUGAAGAAGGCCUUCGGGUUGUAAAGUACUUUCAGCGGGGAGGAAGGCGGUGCGGUUAAUAACCGCGCCGAUUGACGUUACCCGCAGAAGAAGCACCGGCUAACUCCGUGCCAGCCGCCGCCGUAA